UAAUGAGAAUACCAUAAUUUCCUUUUCACUUUAUUUAUUUAUUUUUUUAAAAUCAACCAAUCAAUUGUAUGGUUUCCUCUGCUUUAGGAAACAGGGAAUUUAAAUUUUUUUUUUUUUUUUUUUUUAAAUGCAGCAUUUUCUGGUUUGACAUGAUCAAGAUCAUUAAACAAAACUGUACUGGAGACUCAUUUGCAGAAAUUAAUAACGUGUGUGAGAGCAUGGCUGCUAGUCACCUAUUAGGAGGAUACCAAAUCUGUGUUGUCCAGGUGUGGAGAAGAGAGUAAGAAGAGGGAAAAAAUGACGUGCUCUGGUGAAGGGAUGAAAAUGAAGACUUCUGAGAUAAGUUUCAUCAUACUGCUUUUCUGCAAGUUUCACUUUUCAUGUUCUUGAUGAGAACUCUUUAUUUCAAUAUGAGUAUUUAGGAUUAAUAAAAC
rnacentral:lncRNA from 1 species